rnacentral:lncRNA from 10 species
GGAGAAACUGUUCUUUUUCAUGGCUGUUAGUGGUAGCACUGUCCAUCUUUUUCCUUGCAUUUAGGCUCAUGUGUGGCUUCUUCAGUCCUCUCUUCAUUCACUCAUGUAUUCAUUUAUUCAACGACAUAUUACUAAGGAACCUCCUUAAGCCGGGAUGCUGAACGUGGAAAAAUAGUUGACUCUUGAACAAUGUGGGGGCUUGGGGCACCAACCCCCUGUGCAGUUGAAAAUCGACAUAUAACUUUGACUCGCCAAAAACUUCACUACAAUAGCCUGCUGCCAACCUGAAGUCUUACCAAUAACAUCAACAGUCAAUUAAACAUAUUAC